UACGUAGGGUGCGAGCGUUGUCCGGAAUUACUGGGCGUAAAGAGCUCGUAGGUGGUUUGUCGCGUUGUUCGUGAAAACUCACAGCUUAACUGUGGGCGUGCGGGCGAUACGGGCAGACUGGAGUACUGCAGGGGAGACUGGAAUUCCUGGUGUAGCGGUGGAAUGCGCAGAUAUCAGGAGGAACACCGGUGGCGAAGGCGGGUCUCUGGGCAGUAACUGACGCUGAGGCGCGAAAGCUAGGGGAGCAAACGGG
rnacentral:rRNA from 1 species